rnacentral:rRNA from 1 species
AGUGAACGCUGGCGGUAGGCCUAACACAUGCAAGUCGAACGGUAGCACAGUAUGAGCUUGUUAUUACGGGCGGCGAGUGGAGGACGGGAGAGGAAUACAUCGAAAUGUACUUGUUCGUGCGGGAAAACGUAGGGAAACUUACGCUAAUACCGCAUACGACCUACGGGUGAAAGAAGGGCAAUUUCGGACCUUGCGCGAUUGAAUGAGCCGAUGUCGGAUUAGCUAGUUGGCGGGGUAAAGGCCCACCAAGGCGACGAUCCGUAGCUGGUCUGAGAGGAUGAUCAGCCACACUGGGACUGAGACACGGUCCAGACUCCUACGGGAGGCAGCAGUGGGGAAUAUUGGACAAUGGGCGCAAGCCUGAUCCAGCCAUACCGCGUGGGUGAAGAAGGCCUUCGGGUUGUAAAGCCCUUUUGUUGGGAAAGAAAAGCAGCAGGUUAAUACCCCGCUGUUCUGACGGUACCCGAAGAAUAAGCACCGGCUAACUUCGUG